UGCGGGAAGUCUGGGAGCCACCAUGGGGGAGGUCCUGGUUCUGGUGGACUUUGCCGGGCAGCGGGAGGACGAGCUGUCGCUGAAAGCUGGGGACAUGGUGCAGAAGGUGGGGCCGGGCCCGGAGGAGGGGUGGCUGCAGGGGGAGCUGGCUGGCAAGGAGGGGCUCUUCCCCCAGCAGUUUGUGCAGGAAAUCCCAGCAUCGCUCAUGGCGGACGGAGACCGGAGGUGCCCCCGCUCGACCCGCUUUG